UCCCCGACUCCAGUAUUGGUCCUUCCCCACCAGUGACCUAUAUAAUUGAAAAACCCAAAAUGCUCGGUUUUCUGAUAACCCUAGAGAUCUUAUAGCCCUCCUAGAGAGCACAAUGUUCACCCACCAACCUACCUGGGAUGACUGCCAACAGCUUUUGCGAAUCCUGUUCACCACGGAAGAAAGGGAGAGAAUUCAACUUGAAGCGCGGAAGCUGGUCCCGAGGAAGAUGGUCGACCCACUGUUAACCCUAACCUCAUUAAUGCAGCGUUUCCCCUGACUCGGCCUGAUUGGGACUACAACUCGGCAGAAGCGCAGAUCCAUGGAACAAGGAAAGACCUACAGGACCGGCCAUUACCUGAUGCUGAGGUCACCUGGUUUACUGACGGAAGCAGCUUCGUCCAUCAAGGACAGAGGUAUGCGGUAUGCGGGGGCAGCAGUGACAUCUGAGACUGAAGUGAUAUGGGCAGAGGCUCUGCCCACAGGGACUUCUUCCCAAAGGGCAGAACUAAUUGCAUUGACCCAAGCAUUAAGAAUGGGGCGGGACCGCAAAGUGACUGUAUAUACAGACAGCCGGUAUGCCUUUGCCACGGCCCAUAUACAUGGGGCAAUAUACCGUGAGAGGGGACUACUCACUGCUAAAGGCAAAGACAUCAAAAAUAAAGAUAAAAUUCUGGCCCUAUUGGCCGCUAUUUGGGCCCCUAAAAAACUGGCUAUAGUACAUUGCCCGGGUCACCAAAAAAAAAAUAAAAUAAAAUAAAAUAACUGAUCCAAUCUCUCGAGGAAAUAAAAUCACUGACCAGACUGCACGCCAGGUAGCACAAAACCCCAUUCAAGUACUCCCUGCGCAGCUACCAGACCCAGGGCCCCGAGAUUUACCCCCACAGCCUGAAUACUCAGAAGAUGAUCUUAUCUGGAUGCGCAAGCUCCCCAUGACCCAAGUUACAGAUGGAUGGUGGAGGGACUCCAGAGACCGCCUUAUCCUUCCCGACAAAUUGGGCCACGCAAUCCUGGCAAAAAUACUCCAGAACGCGCACCCACACGCCACAGCCCAAGGCCACCGAAAAAGAGGAACCAUACCAGAAGCCCACUGGGAAGUGGACUUCACCGAGGUAAAGCCCGACAAAUACGGCUAUAAAUACUUACUAGUGUUCGUAGACACUUUUUCAGGAUGGACUGAAGCCUUUCCAACCAAGAAGGAAACGGCGCAGAUAGUAGCCAAAAAGAUCCUAGAAAAAAUCCUGCCCAGGUAUGGUUUUCCAGUCAUGAUAGGGUCAGAUAAUGGACCUGCAUUCGUCUCUAAGGUAAGUCAGGGAUUGGCUUCCGUACUUGGGGCAGAUUAGAAAUUACAUUGUGCCUACCGGCCCCAAAGCUCAGGACAAGUA